AGGAAACCAACUAACCACCCUAAGAUGCAGCACAGUGAAACGUGGGGAUUAUCGGACGCACGGAUGGGAAGCAGCGCAAAGAUGACAUCUCCAACCAAGGCAAGCAGCACUGUACUUGGGAGCAGGGCAGUGGACACAGGGAGGGCUCAAGGUCAUUUCACUGAAAGAACUCAUACUCGUAGCAGCGGACCUACAGAAUCAAAGCUCCUUCUGGUCCCCAUAGGCUCCUGUGGGUGCUUGAUUAACAGAGAUGGGAGCCCUCGCCACCACCUGCACCCAGGAACUGAAUCAUGAGUCUUUUGAAGAUAACCUCACAUCCGGGAAACAGGAUGUAAAUUGUCUGAAGAUCUAUUUAUUCAUUCAUCAAAUACAGGUGCAUUAGAGUACCUGCCUUCUCCCAGGUGCUGUGGCAGACACCCUCCUGGCAGGGUGACAGGACCAUUAUGAACAGCCAGUGAAAGGACAGCAGAGUUCUGGAGGAGACUGUCUGGCUCUGGCAUGUAUGUCCCUUAGUCCCCAUGUCUUAGCCUCUGCUGGAGGUUGGAUUAAGAACAGGCCUCGAUGUUGAGGCUAUGUGAGAAAAAAAAGAUUCCAAGCAGCCCAGGUCACCUGGCUGUCCUGGAGGCUGGGACAACAUGGCCACCUACCCACUCAUAGGCCUCUGUGACCAAGAUGGCAAGAUAGCAGCUCAUGAGGAGAGCCGAGUUUGUAGAUGGAAGCACUCUACAGUACCUGUACUAGUGGCUGUUCUUGAAGGACCCAGCAGUCAAGAUAACCUCUCCAGACCCCAGUCUUUCCUUAGGGGUCAUCCCUAGCAUUUCCUCACUUGCCAUGGCAGAAGAAAAGGACCCACCACCCCAUGCCCAGGGCUUCCAUGCUGCCAUGGCCAUAUGGCCAGGCACACUGUCCACCUUAGGGACAGAAAGAUGGAGCAUUCCAACUGGAAACCGAAAUAAGGCCUCAGUCAAGACUCGCCUCCUGCUAAAACCAGGCAGGGCCAGUGCAAAGCAAAUAAAACCGAGGAGACAAGGGCAUCUCUGGCAUAAGGAGUCAGCAUUUAGUCUAGGUCUAGCUGGAGGGGUCUGCGGGACUGGGGGAGCUCAGGGACGGUUUCCAGUCACUGUCUACAGGAUCUCUAUGGGGAUCAGGUACUCCAGGGACUGAGCCCUGCCCUCCACAGUACCAGGGCCUAUCAGACCUUGGGCAAAUCAGUCCACUUGUCAGAGUCUGGUAACUGAGUGAAUCAUGGCAAGUAAGAUAUCGUGAUGAGCGUCAGACCUCAGCAGCAGCAGUGAAUCACAUCGCCUUCCCGGAGCAGCCUCUUCUCCCUCCCACGUGACACAGGAAGAGAAGAUGGGUGGCCCCUGGGGACUCUAACAUCUGAGCAGUGAGACUCCUGCAGUGUGACAGUAGAGAGAGGAAUCAUGGACACUGAGGACAUAGGGUAAGCCUUCUGGCGCUGCCUCUAGCCUGCUAAGGACCUGAACAGCUCCUUCAGUUCGCCCACAAAAUGCCUAGCCCAUCAGCCUGGCCCACCCUCCUCUCCAGCUCCAGGGAAAAAUCAGGCAGAUCAACCUAGCAGCCCUAGAGCAGGUUGCUAUGCAUAUGUACCAUGCAUACAUAUAUGCACACGUCUCUAUAUACAUACAAAUUCCUAUAUGUGUAUGAGCAUAUAUGUAUGUAAGUAUGGACUAAAUACAUAUGAACACAGACUCAUUACAACAAACUUACCUGCAUACAUAAGCACACAUAUAUGGGAGGGGCUCAUACCCUAUGUCGAAGCAGCUCUCUUAUGUAACUCACAACCACAGUUAGGACAACGAUUCCAUCAUCACUGCUAUUUAUUAAACAGAGUCACCUCCAGGAUUUUGUAUGUUGACUCCCCAAUCCUCUAGUGCCUGGAAAUAUGACUGUAUUCUAAGUCAGGAUCUAUAAAGAGGUGAUUACAUUAAAAUAAUAGCAUUAGGGUGGGGCCUUAAUUCCAUUUGACUGUCCUCCAUGCAAACAGGGAAGAGGCCACAUGAGGGUACAGCGUGACCAUGGCCAUCUAGAAGAGAUUGACCAUUGAUGCCUUCAUCACAGUCCUCCAGCCUCUAGGAUUUUGGGCAGAGAGAGUUCUUGUGUUCAUGGGCCCAGACUAUUGUUAUGGUAGACCCAGGAGACUUAAACAGUCAAGAAGCCACCAGGCUUAGUCAUAGGCUCCUUGCUUGUCCUCGAGUUCCCAGGAGCCAAUGCCCUGAACAUAGCUCUGUUGGCCAAGGGCAAGCUCCUCUCUCAGUCCUCACUUUUGGCACAGGCUCACCCCACUCUCCUCUAGGUAGGCCAAUUGCAGGCAGGCCAUGGGGCUUGUAAGCACCAGGGCACUACAGACCUCUCUGUUCGGCAGCCUGAGAUGUUGGCUUUGCCCUGGUCUGCAUCCUGCACCUUUGGCUGCCUUAGCCUCUUACUGCAAGCUCCAGACCUGACCACAGCAAGUAUGGCAUGGCCCACUGAGAGCUCUCUAUUGGCUUCUCAGACUUCUUCCAGGGGCAGACCAGAAAGAGGAGCAGGUAUGGGGGAGGGUAGCUGAUCUCUUCUCAGGCGAGAGCACCUAGCAGGUGAGAAGCAGGCUGUGUGCACAUUUGCUGUCCACACAAACACAUGCAAACACAUAAGUUCCCAUGUACAUAUGUAAUCAUGCACACACGUGCACAUGAAUACUUACAACCAGGUCAGAAAUUUGUGGGAAAACCCUUACUAGCUCUCUUUAUGUACCCCAGAACUGGGAGCCUCAUGGAAGUAGUGAGCCUUUCCCUACAUGUCUAGUCAGCAGACCUCGCUCAGCAGGCCCUCAGGCAUCUUGCUACACAGAAGUCAGAAGCCUUACUGUGCUCGUAAUAACCAGCUCUGGGUCCAGGGCCUGCUUGUGUUACUGAGCUGUGACAACCUGGUUACAGAGGAGGUGGAGGCUCUCUCUAUCGAGUGAAUGGCUGCCUUGCUGUAUCCCUUUGUUUGUUUCUUCAAUGAGAGUGAAUGAAGUGCCUGCUUGUGCAAAGCACCAUGCUAGACUUGCUGGAGGAAGGGUGAGUAAGCUGCGGAAAGGCAGCUGUUGUGCAGGGAUAGACGGAUGACUAAGAUGAAGAUGAACAGGUCCUUUCUCUGUAAGCAAGUGGGUACCUGAUGAUGAGGGAGAUAAACCCCCCACACACACCCCAAUAAACAGCCUUCUCAGGAGUCUGUUUUGGCUAGCCUGUAUCCUAAGAGAGUCUGCUUGUUUUUCAAGCAUGUUUGGGGGGUUGGGGCUAGAGCCCCAGUCACACAGAGAUCUAUGUGUUCCUUGAUCUGCCAUGUAGAAAUGCUUACUCUGUCAUUCUGGGGGGAGCCAUGAAGAGAAUGGCUGAGUGGGACUGUGUUCACAGUUCUGGGGUGCAGGGCAGAGAGCUGACAAAGGCUGUGCCCCCCGAGACUCUGAGCACAUGAUGUCACCCCUCUGCUCCUCAGCUUAUAGCUUGAGGGAUGGACACAGUGAGGGUCUGCCAAGGCCUAAACAGACUUCUCUGUUGGCGAGUCCAAGACUAGUUAGGACCACAAUUGUUGGUAACCAUGGUUGGCCCAGAAAGCACUGGGUCCCUACAUGUCUCCAGAGAAGAUCCAUCCUAUUAGUCGGGCCCAAGCUCUGGUUCCCCAAGGGCCUUGUCUCUUAGCCACCUGCAAACCCAGGGGCUGAAGAUGGUUGGGGAAGAAAUGCAGAACAUGCUGACCGAUUGCAUCUCAACUGAGUCUAUGAAGGGAUGCCCUCCCUCCAUGCCUGGUAUUUUCACUCAACGGUUCUUCUCUCUCCUCAAACGUCACUCCCCCUUUGCUAAUAUGAAGAUACAUUAAAAAGCAAAGCAUAUCGCAAA
ensembl:lincRNA 9930038B18Rik RIKEN cDNA 9930038B18 gene